AAUUAGUCUACAGCCUGAACACUCCCAAUUCCAUCUGAUCUUGGAAGCUAAGCAGGGUUGGGCCUGCUUAGUGCUUGGAUGGGAGACCACAUAGGAAGACCAGGUGAUGUAGGUG
rnacentral:rRNA from 1 species